rnacentral:tRNA from 2 species
GCCGCUAUAGCUCAGGGGUAGAGCGCAUCAUUGGUAAUGAUGAGGCCGUAAGUUCGAUUCUUACUAGCGGCACCA